rnacentral:rRNA from 1 species
UACGUAGGGGGCAAGCGUUGUCCGGAUUCAUUGGGCGUAAAGAGCGUGUAGGCGGCCUGGAAGGUCAGCUGUGAAAACUCGGGGCUCAACCCCGAGCCUGCAGUCGAUACGGGCAAACUAGAGUGUGGUAGGGGAGACUGGAAUUCCUGGUGUAGCGGUGAAAUGCGCAGAUAUCAGGAGGAACACCGGUGGCGAAGGCGGGUCUCUGGGCCGAUACUGACGCUGAGGAGCGAAAGCGUGGGGAGCGAACAGG